AAGUUUUUCUAUCAUUUGUUAUUAUUAGUGUGAUAUUUUAGCAUGCAAAUAGAGAGGAAAACAUCUAAUUAUCAGGAAAAAAAAAUCGGCAGCAUAUAUCGGCCAUCGGCUGACCCAUAUCGGUCGACCUCUAGUAAGCAUUGUAGGAAAAUGCCGUGUACAACGGCUAACGCUACUACUAUGCAAAGCCUUUUCCAGCAUCAUCAUCCCAGCAGGCAUCCAAUAUUGUCACAACGUUGAAUAACAGUUGAAAUUACGCUGAAUUAUGUAAUUAUGAUGCUGAGAUUAUCAGAAAUAUCUGCUGUGAGCAAGCAGGGACAGCAUUGCCACUAUGUUGAUUUCGCGUCGAAAUAUAAGAAUAUACUAUUUUAAAAGUUGAAAAAAAUCGUUAUGGUAACAACCUGCAAACAUUUAUUAAUAUUUUAGAGAUAUAUAUUUUCUUAAAUGCUGUAAUCUCUUGGUUUGGACUGAACGCCAAAGCGCGUUCGCGCAUGCGCACUUCUUGCAUUCUCCAGCUGUCUCUCGCUAAAAGCCGUUAAAGAGGUGGAUGGUAGCUGCAGGCAAUCAUCAAGAUCAGGAGAGCAGGUGCUCUGGAUGUCAUCCCCUUUCUUCUGUUCUUCAAACACAAUGACCUGCAGUUCACGAACAGGAACAGAAGUAAAUGCAGCAGCUGAAUACCGCUGUAGCAGAAAUGCACCGAAAACAUCACAACAAUGCAUUUUAAUGCAGCAAGUGAACAGGACUCAGAAUCCAGCAUGCAUGCUGCAGGAUGUGUACAACUAUGCUAGCACAUUAAAGCAAAAAAAUGUAUGGACAUGCCUCAUUUUGUCCAGUUUUGAGCCAGGGUCCUGGGAGAUAAAGGGUUUGCUGCGGCCCAAUGGACCAGUACCGCCCAAGAUUCUGUCCAUUCACAAAGACGACGCCUUUACUCCAGCC